UACAGAGGGUGCAACCGUUGCUCGGAAUUAUUGGGCGUAAAGCGCGUGUAGGCGGCUUGUUAAGUCGGUUGUGAAAACCCAUGGCUCAACCAUGGAAGGGCGUCCGAAACUGGCAAGCUAGAGUCCCGACGAGGAUGGCGGAAUUCCCAGUGUAGAGGUGAAAUUCGUAGAUAUUCGGAAGAACUCCAGUGGCGAAGGCGACUUACUGGACACAUAUUGACGCUGAGGUGCGAAAGCGUGGGGAGCAAACAGG
rnacentral:rRNA from 1 species